rnacentral:tRNA from 1 species
GGGGAUUUAGCUCAGUGGUAGAGUGCUUGCCUAGCGAGCAUAAGGCCCUGGGUUCGGUCCCCAGCUCCG